rnacentral:rRNA from 1 species
GAGUUUGAUCCUGGCUCAGAAUGAACGCUGGCGGCGUGCCUUACACAUGCAAGUCGAGCGAGGCCGGGUAGCAAUACCCGAGUCGAGCGGCGAACGGGGUGAGUAACACGUGGAUUAUCUGCCCUGAGGUGGGGGAUAACCCGGGGAAACUCGGGCUAAUACCGCAUAUGACCGUGAGGUCAAAGGGGGGUCGCAAGAUCUCUCGCCAUUGGAGGAGUCCGCGUCCGAUUAGCUAGUUGGUAGGGUAAUGGCCUACCAAGGCGACGAUCGGUAGCCGGCCUGAGAGGGUGAUCGGCCACACUGGAACUGAGACACGGUCCAGACUCCUACGGGAGGCAGCAGUGGGGAAUUUUGCGCAAUGGGCUAACGCCUGACGCAGCAACGCCGCGUGGAGGAUGAAGGUCCUUGGAUUGUAAACUCCUGUCAGCAGGGAAAAAGCAAUCUAGCCUCAUACGCUAGAGAGUUGAUUGUACCUGCAGAGGAAGCCCGGCUAACUCUGUGCCAGCAGCCGCGGUAAC